rnacentral:misc_RNA from 1 species
GAGUCGGGAAAUGAGAUAUGAAGAAGGCUGAUAGAGGGAAGUCUUUCGAUAUAAAUAGGAUUGGUACCUACUGGUGCAAGAAGCUUCAUCAAAUCCAGCGGCAAGGAGUCCACCAAGCAAUUUGUCAUUGGAUUUAUCAGUAGGUUGUGAUAGAACAUGUUCUGAUCCACGUCCUAGUCCUAAUGAUGAGAACGCUCCUGUAUCAUUUGGUUGGGUUCUUUUUUCGAGAACUCUAGCUUCAGCCAACCUCAGUAACCGAUCAUACGGCUGGGGGCGAAGCAUCGUGAAUAAUACAGGCAAAGCAACCAAACCGGUUGCCAAGAUCUUGGUGAGAGUCAUCGUAGUGGUUCCGAAUCUCCGAAGUCGGGGCCCAAAGAGCUGGGCGGGGCCUUGAUCAGUGUACUUGGAAGGUGAUAAUCGCCUCCUUGUGAAGGAAUUCAGAUCCAUUCCAUUCUGCAUUUGUAAGAUCUCGUUUUGCUUUUGGAGCCAAAAUGGUGAGAGGAGAGGGGAAG